rnacentral:rRNA from 1 species
AACGCGAAGAACCUUACCUGGGCUUGAACUACCGAUGGUAAGCCUUUGGAAACAGAGGCUGACCCGCAAGGGAGUCGGCAGAGGUGCUGCAUGGUUGUCGUCAGCUCGUGUCGUGAGAUGUUGGGUUAAGUCCCGCAACGAGCGCAACCCCUAUCUCAUGUUGCUACUCCCGCAAGGGAGGCACUCUUGAGAAACUGCCUUCGAUAAGAAGGAGGAAGGUGGGGACGACGUCAAAUCCUCAUGGCCCUUAUGUCCAGGGCUACACACGUGCUACAAUGGCCGGUACAACGGGAAGCAAUACCGCAAGGUGGAGCAAAACCCUGAAAGCCGGCCCCAGUUCAGAUUGUGGGCUGAAACUCGCCCACAUGAAGGCGGAAUCGCUAGUAAUCGCGAAUCAGCAGGUCGCGGUGAAUACGUUCCCGGGCCUUGUACACACCGAGUAUA